UGCUAUACAAAUUUGGAAAUGGUACUCAUAUUGUCUUCUACUCACCUAUCUUGGAAUCACUAUACAAAUUUGGAAAUCAAGUUUUCAAAUGCAAUUCAUGUUUGAUGUAGAACAAAAAAUUAAAAGAUUCACACAUGACAGAAGAUAGGGGACUCUUCCUAAAUCGUAACAGACAUCAAGAGCUCAUGUAAUGGGGUAAAAAGAAGCAAUGGCAAAGAAAAAACAAAUUGUUACUGAGUACCCACGGGAAGGUUGUGAGAUUCAACCUUUUUUUCUGCUUCCAUAACAUACCAUGUCAGAUAUUCAUCUGUCUACAUGACCCAAAAAACAGAACAUGAAACCAAAAUUCAUGGGAUUCAUAUUACUAGAAAUAAACAAAUAGAAUCAUAGUAAUAGGAGCAGAUAAUUUUAUGGGAUUCAUAUUACUUAUAAGAAAUUGACUGAACUCAUUUCUAAGUUUGUUUUUUCAAACCAGUUCUGAUAUCUUAAAUAAUUUUAUGUGUUGAUUUUUUUUCAUAUCAGUUUUGAUAUCUUAAAUAAUAGUUUUGCUCAAUGAUGUUAUACUAUAUUAUUAAUAUAAAAGGUAUUAUUAAAAGUAGUAGUUUUUCACUAUCAAGCCUAAAGGUCUUGCACAUAUAUAACGACAAAGAUCAACCAAAAGGAAUAUUGCUCAGAACAAGUAAGAAAGUUAUCUGUGUUGGUUAAUUCAUCGAGAAUACCCAACCUGUGUCAUUACUGAAUCUACAACCUGCAAAUCUGAUUGCUUGGCAGUAACCAAAAUCUGGAACUCAACACAUCCAAUCACCAAUUCAUGGUUGUUUCAGAGGUAUUUAUAUUUCUUCUUUUGGUACAACACUGAUUGAUAUUUUUGUUUCCGAAUUAUUUAUAUUACCAUCCAAAAGGGAUUAUUUUGAGUGUCAGUAUCAGUUUUAUGCCUGUUGGUGUUUGUAAAAUUAUCAGAAACCAAAUUUGGAAAGAGGAAAAACAUGAAACUGCUUUUUCCCUGUAUGGGAUGAUGUUUAAUUCUCUAAUGGCAAAUGCUUCUUUUAGACCA